rnacentral:rRNA from 1 species
AGAGUUUGAUCAUGGCUCAGGACGAACGCUGGCGGCGUGCCUAAUACAUGCAAGUCGAACGAACUCUGGUAUUGAUUGGUGCUUGCAUCAUGAUUUACAUUUGAGUGAGUGGCGAACUGGUGAGUAACACGUGGGAAACCUGCCCAGAAGCGGGGGAUAACACCUGGAAACAGAUGCUAAUACCGCAUAACAACUUGGACCGCAUGGUCCGAGCUUGAAAGAUGGCUUCGGCUAUCACUUUUGGAUGGUCCCGCGGCGUAUUAGCUAGAUGGUGGGGUAACGGCUCACCAUGGCAAUGAUACGUAGCCGACCUGAGAGGGUAAUCGGCCACAUUGGGACUGAGACACGGCCCAAACUCCUACGGGAGGCAGCAGUAGGGAAUCUUCCACAAUGGACGAAAGUCUGAUGGAGCAACGCCGCGUGAGUGAAGAAGGGUUUCGGCUCGUAAAACUCUGUUGUUAAAGAAGAACAUAUCUGAGAGUAACUGUUCAGGUAUUGACGGUAUUUAACCAGAAAGCCACGGCUAACUACGUGCCAGCAGCCGCGGUAAUACGUAGGUGGCAAGCGUUGUCCGGAUUUAUUGGGCGUAAAGCGAGCGCAGGCGGUUUUUUAAGUCUGAUGUGAAAGCCUUCGGCUCAACCGAAGAAGUGCAUCGGAAACUGGGAAACUUGAGUGCAGAAGAGGACAGUGGAACUCCAUGUGUAGCGGUGAAAUGCGUAGAUAUAUGGAAGAACACCAGUGGCGAAGGCGGCUGUCUGGUCUGUAACUGACGCUGAGGCUCGAAAGUAUGGGUAGCAAACAGGAUUAGAUACCCUGGUAGUCCAUACCGUAAACGAUGAAUGCUAAGUGUUGGAGGGUUUCCGCCCUUCAGUGCUGCAGCUAACGCAUUAAGCAUUCCGCCUGGGGAGUACGGCCGCAAGGCUGAAACUCAAAGGAAUUGACGGGGGCCCGCACAAGCGGUGGAGCAUGUGGUUUAAUUCGAAGCUACGCGAAGAACCUUACCAGGUCUUGACAUACUAUGCAAAUCUAAGAGAUUAGACGUUCCCUUCGGGGACAUGGAUACAGGUGGUGCAUGGUUGUCGUCAGCUCGUGUCGUGAGAUGUUGGGUUAAGUCCCGCAACGAGCGCAACCCUUAUUAUCAGUUGCCAGCAUUAAGUUGGGCACUCUGGUGAGACUGCCGGUGACAAACCGGAGGAAGGUGGGGAUGACGUCAAAUCAUCAUGCCCCUUAUGACCUGGGCUACACACGUGCUACAAUGGAUGGUACAACGAGUUGCGAACUCGCGAGAGUAAGCUAAUCUCUUAAAGCCAUUCUCAGUUCGGAUUGUAGGCUGCAACUCGCCUACAUGAAGUCGGAAUCGCUAGUAAUCGCGGAUCAGCAUGCCGCGGUGAAUACGUUCCCGGGCCUUGUACACACCGCCCGUCACACCAUGAGAGUUUGUAACACCCAAAGUCGGUGGGGUAACCUUUUAGGAACCAGCCGCCUAAGGUGGGACAGAUGAUUAGGGUGAAGUCGUAACAAGGUAGCCGUAGGAGAACCUGCGGUUGGAUCACCUCCUU